rnacentral:SRP_RNA from 1 species
CUGUGCUAGACGGGGAACUAGCGGUGCCCUGUACCCGCAAUCCGCUCCAGCGGGGUUGAAUUCCUGCUCGAGGGCCGAUGCAUCGGGGACUGCCCCUGCCAAAGAACGUUGACGACCUGGUCCUGCGCGGCGAUGCACUUCGAACCUGGUCAGGUCCGGAAGGAAGCAGCCAUAAGGAGCCCGCUUCGGGUGCCGCAGGUACACCGGGUCUGAGUUUGCUGGCAAUGGGCAAGCCCGGUACCAGGUUCGACAGCAGGUGCACAG